rnacentral:rRNA from 1 species
ACGGAGGUUCCAAGCGUUGUUCGGAAUUACUGGGCGUAAAGGGAGCGCAGGCGGACAAGUCAGUCUAAAGUGAAAUCCCGGGGCUUAACCUCGGACUUGCUUCGGAUACUGCUUGUCUUGAGUUCGUGAUAGGAAGAUGGAAUUCAGGGUGUAGCGGUGAAAUGCACAGAUAUCCUGAGGAACACCGGUGGCGAAAGCGGUCUUCUGGCGCGAAACUGACGCUGAGGCUCGAAAGCGUGGGUAGCAAACGG